AUUGAACGCUGGCGGAAUGCUUUACACAUGCAAGUCGAACGGCAGCACGGGGGCAACCCUGGUGGCGAGUGGCGAACGGGUGAGUAAUACAUCGGAACGUGCCCAAUCGUGGGGGAUAACGUAGCGAAAGCUACGCUAAUACCGCAUACGAUCUACGGAUGAAAGCGGGGGAUCGCAAGACCUCGCGCGAAUGGAGCGGCCGAUGGCAGAUUAGGUAGUUGGUGGGGUAAAGGCUCACCAAGCCGACGAUCUGUAGCUGGUCUGAGAGGACGACCAGCCACACUGGGACUGAGACACGGCCCAGACUCCUACGGGAGGCAGCAGUGGGGAAUUUUGGACAAUGGGCGCAAGCCUGAUCCAGCCAUUCCGCGUGCAGGAUGAAGGCCUCGGUUGUAACUGCUUUGGUACGGAACGAAAAGACUCUGGUUAAGUACCUGGGCGACAUGACGGUACCGUAAGAAUAAG
rnacentral:rRNA from 1 species